rnacentral:rRNA from 1 species
UGGGGAAUAUUGGACAAUGGGCGAAAGCCUGAUCCAGCCAUGCCGCGUGUGUGAAGAAGGUCUUCGGAUUGUAAAGCACUUUAAGUUGGGAGGAAGGGCAGUAAGCGAAUACCUUGCUGUUUUGACGUUACCGACAGAAUAAGCACCGGCUAACUCUGUGCCAGCAGCCGCGGUAAUACAGAGGGUGCAAGCGUUAAUCGGAAUUACUGGGCGUAAAGCGCGCGUAGGUGGUUCGUUAAGUUGAAUGUGAAAGCCCCGGGCUCAACCUGAGAACUGCAUCCAAAACUGGCGGGCUAGAGUAGGGCAGAGGGUGGUGGAAUUUCCUGGGUAGCGGUGAAAUGCGUAGAUAUAGGAAGGAACACCAGUGGCGAAGGCGACCACCUGGGCUCAUACUGACACUGAGGUGCGAAAGCGUGGGGAGCAAACAGG